UAGUCCACGCCCUAAACGAUGCUUACUCGACGUUUGUCCUUAGGGAUGAGCGUCUAAGGGAAACCACUAAGUAAGCCACCUGGGGAGUACGUCGGCAACGAUGAAACUCAAAGGAAUUGACGGGGUCCGCACAAGCGGUGGAGCAUGUGGUUUAAUUCGAUGAUACGCGAGGAACCUUACCUGGGCUCGAACGCUUUUUGACCGCCCCUGAAAGGGGGCUUCUCUUCGGAGCAAUUAGUGAGGUGCUGCAUGGUUGUCGUCAGCUCGUGCCGUGAGGUGUUGGGUUGAGUCCCGCAACGAGCGCAACCCCUUUCGUUAGUUGCCAUCACAUAAUGGUGGGGACUCUAGCGAUACUGCCGGCGUAAGCCGAGAGGAAGGUGGGGACGACGUCAAAUCAUCAUGGCCUUUAUGCCCAGGGCUACACACGUGCUACAAUGGCCAGGACAGAGGGUCGCCAACCCGCGAGGGGGAGCCAAUCUCAGAAACCUGGUCCCAGUUCGGAUUGGAGU
rnacentral:rRNA from 1 species